rnacentral:lncRNA from 1 species
CCGACCAGAGCGACAGCUAUUCCGACAGCCGCGACAACUACGCGCAGGCCGAGCCGUCCACCUACACCAACGCGCCGCUCGUCGGCGCCCUCGCCUUCUUCGCGGGGGCACGCUCAGCAUAACCUAAGUGGCGUAAACGAAAUGUGUAUGCGAUGGUUGAACUUGAACUGUGUAUGUAAGAGUUUUCUUUUCAAGCUUGCUAAAACUCAGUCGACUGCAUAGCCAUUAGACCUUUGCAUGGAGAUUUAUGCUGGACUGAGCACCAUCCAAUGGACCAUGCAUCAUUUUGUCACACCAUGUGCAACAUUUCUUUCUACUGGUUGCAGCAUCCGUCUCAUUGGACACAACAUUUACCCUCAUUGAUUGCAGCACAUCGUCUCACUCGUUGGAACAUUCGCCAUUGAUGGUUGCAUCAUUAGUCACAACGGUUGUAGCAUCUGAGUUGCCAUUGCUUGCAACAUUUUUUGUAUCCUAUUGCAACAUCUAGUUGUGCCACUCGUCACACCACAACUACGCAGAUGUAACUCGACCGAGACUUCGUUAAGUUGGGGGAGACUAGUAAUCUUACAUUAGAUGAGAAUCAAUGAGAUCAACCACAAAAAUCAUAUUUAUACAUUCCAAAAAUUCUGAAAUUAUUUGACAACAUAUCUGUGGGGUGUACAACUCCGAGAAAAAUCAGCACAAAACUCAUGUACAGUUAGAGAAAGGACAAAUUUGAAUGUGAAUAGUGCAAGCUUUGGGUGAAUAGUAUAUUUGACACUACACAUUCAAUUUCGUCUUUUUUUUGUUUCAGUUAAUGUAGAUUGAAUUAGGAGCAGAAACUUUUUUACAUCAAACAUUGAUGUGCGUCUAUAAUUUUUCUAGAAUGUUUGAACAUGUUUCGUAUUUAAAAAAGUGAUCUCACCAAAUAUGAGAUCCUACAGUAGUCUUCCCUCAUUAAAUCUCAGUCGAGUGAAUUCUACACACACUCUUUUUCGAUAAGUGCAUGCAUAGGAUCUUCAAAAGGAAGAAUUACUCAGAAACUGAUUAGUAAUGAUGUCCUUUCUUAUGAAAGAGAUCUUUACCCCCCAAAAAGUAUCUAUAUACGUGUCUCAUGGUGUAUAUUGUGUGGAUAAUAAAUUUGAGUGGUUGUGGACAUCACCAACUACCUGAUUAGUGAUAGCCACCUUGGUUUGUAAAAGCUUAUGCUCUGUUUGGAUAUAUUUGGUUCGGAUGAUAAAUUUGAGUGGUUGUGGACAUCACCAACUACCUGGUUGGUGAUAACCACUUUGGUUUGUAAAAACUUACUGUGUUUGUAUGUUGAUAUUCACGGCCAUGUAAUUGGAUUGGCUCCAAGAUCAAAUCAAUUCUAAAGCAUGUUGGAUGAUCAUUAUCUAUAUUGGAUUUGCUCAUUUGUCAUAGGAUGAAUAUCGUACUUUGAUGUAAUGUUUUAAAUUAAAUUACAUGCAAGACGUGUAUUCACGGCAGUAAGAACCUCGUCAGUUAAGUCGUCUCCUAAGAUGUGCCAAAACCUCUUGAAGAAAAUUGCAUGAAGUCCAUUCGGACCGGGAGCCUUCAUAUCACCUAUUUGGAAUAGAGCUUUACGGACCUCCUCUCUAGUGUACUCCGCAAGAAGCAUAUUAUUCAUAUCAUCGGUAACAAGACUUUUCACAGAAUGCAACAAAGAGGGAUCAAUAACAUCCAGAUUGGAAGUAAAUAAAUUACUAAAAUAAUCAACAAUUAACGGCUUCAACUCAUCAUUGCCUUCUGCCCAUCCGUUGCCAUCCCUUUUCAGUUUUUUUGUUAAAUUCCGCCGUCUCUUGGCCGAGGCAAAUUGAUGAAAAUACGCAGUAUUUCGGUCUCCUCGUCGCAGCCAACUGACUUUACCCCUUUGAGCCCAAUAAAUCUCAUCUUGUUCAAGCGAAUUUUCAAUGAAUAAUGCGAGUUCCUUCUGUUUCAUACACACGUCUGCAGUGGGCAUACUUCUCAUCAAAACAUCUAGCUCAUACUGGGCCUUGCGCAACCUGGACCGAGGCUCCUUCAAAACCCUCCUGUCCCAUAAGUGCAACUCUUGAUGUACAAUAGCUAGCUUCUCACCCGUCCUUGGGGAAUGGCCGAGCAGUGAAGCCUUUUGCCAGGCGGUUUUAACAAUCUCUUCUACAGUAUCUUCGGCCAGCCAACGAGCUUCAAAUUUCCUCCCAUAUGUUGGUUAAUUUUCUGCAACUCCCAUGAGAUGAUUUGUAUCCAAUAAAAUUGGUCUAUGGUCAGACUUACCCAACUCCAGAUUGCACAAACCAGCGAAUGGAUGGAGCAGCAUCCAACUCGCAUUAGUUACAGCUCUAUCAAGCCUCUCCCUAAGCCCCCCACGGAACCAGGUAUACUUAUCUCCUUCAUAGCCCAUGUCCUCCAAUGAGCAAUUAGACAAGGCAUCCUGAAAUGCUUGCAUGCGUGAUUGUUGUCUCGGGGCUCCCCCAUCCUUUUCUGACGAGAUUAAUAUCUUGUUAAAAUCGCCUAUAACAGCCCACGGCAGGCUAGACUGGUCAUGAAGAUCCCUGAUCAGCUGAAAAGUACGGGCCUUAAGAUCCCAACUAGGUUCUCCGUAGAUGCCCGUUAAUCUCCAUACCUCCCCGUUCUCUUCCUCCACUGUAACAUCAAUGAAAUCAAGGGUAGUUGCACGGAAGUAGAUCCUAACCUCUUUCUUCCAGACAAGCAGCAAACCGCCCUUUCUCUCAUCCUGGCUCGGCACUACAAUCAUCUUAUCCAUCCGAAGUCUCUUCAUCAAGUUUUCUGCCUUAUCCUCAUCCAGAGCGUCCCCAACAGAAGAAACACAUCUGGUUCAUGGCGUCUCUGGAUGUCUAGAAGCGAACGGGUUGUCGGGGUACCAAGAACACCUCGGCAAUUCCAACUGAUGAGCUUCAUUGUACCUGAUCAUGAACCCCCUCACAGCAAUAGACCUGGCCUAGGGCAGAUCACAAACCUCACAAAUUAGCACCAAAAAUCUGCAGCUCGUACUUCAGUAACCGAAGAUGGAGAAGCAGCAAACGAAUCUACUCCUAGAUUCUUGGUGGAAGACCAUCAAGAAAACAUGCAGUAGAGACAGAGAACCAGCCACGGCAACACACGGUCACCAUGCUGGGACAAAACCGCUGGCAUAGCGCCGUCGCCGGGGAGGCGGCCGGCGUUGGCUAGCAAAACCCUAGUCGCCUGGGCGUCCGCCUCUCUCCAAGAAAAAAAGGAUUCGUGUCCUGAGGAUGCUGCGCUUUCCCUAGCUAAGCGAUCCAAAACUAACUGGAUCGAUAAGUUGUUUUUAGUGAAAGCUGGAUCGAUUAGGAUAUGUGACUAGUACGUUUUUUCUUUUAAGUGGAGCUGUACGUGACGUGACUAAUGGAGGUGGAUCAGUAAGUCGUGUGUGGGGGUUUUUUUUUUUAGGGGUGCUAACACUUUAUUGAUCUAUGGUAGCAUUAAAAGGUAUACAUGCCGGGCCAUAAGGAGAUAAAAGCCACAGAUGGCGACCCCGAUCAAGCAAAAGAGAGUGUUUAGCAAGAUUGUGAGCAUUGCUAUUUGAAGCUCUGCUUUCAAAAAUAAAGCUACAGCUAUUAAAAACGGGACUCCUUUGAUAGAUUUCUCUGAUGACCGAUAAGUAAGCUCCGCCAGUCCCUCCUUUAAUAUCCUCUACCACCUGUUUGCAAUCGCAAGCCACCACAAAGUUUUGGAGAGAUAAGUCUUCGGCCAAAGCUAGCGCCUCACGACAGGCAAUGGCUUCCAAAACUGCCGGGUCUGAAACUCCCGGAAUAACCAGCGAUGAUGAUCCCAAGUACAGACACUGUUGGUCUCUGCAUACUGCUGCAACUGCUCCUACACCACGGUCCUGCGCAAUCCCACCAUCUACCAUUAUUUUCAUAUGACCCAGCGGUGGUGGUCGCCAAGAAGAACGAGAGCCAACUGCUCUCUUAGCUUGCAGCUUCGGCCCCGCUGUGUUCGCCAAAACGUCAAUGCUUUGGAGUUCUGAAAUGAAAUGUCGGACGAAGAUAUGUGUCGCUAAAGGACUUUGGAAGAUCUCCUCAUGUAUUGCUUUUGUUCUCGCAGUCCAAAUCGCCCACAAAGUGAUUGCCAUUUCGAUGAACUGAGCAUGUGAUAAAGAACUUUGUAGUUGGAAUAACCAGUGUUUAGCACUUGGUUCCACUGUCUCGGCCAUUGUUUCCACAAUCUUUUCAUCGGCUAGAGCCCAAACACAUCGUGCCAUCGAACACUCUACCAAGGAGUGUCUCCAUGAAUCAAAAUUACCGCAUAACUGACAGUUAUCCACAAUACUCAUAUGUCUAUGUUUCCUCACAUCUUCAGUUGGCAAAGAUUGCCUUCCCAGUCUCCACAUGAAUGUUCUGAUCUUUGAAGGGACCUUGGUAUUCCACAAUGAGGCCCAGCCCCUCUCAUCUGAACUUUGAUCCGAAACUGUCGCUCUGCCGCCUAAUAAAUUUUCUCCUCUCUUCUUUGUCUCCCAUCGCAUUUUGUAGUCGUGCGUGGGUGCGCACGCAGGCGGCGGGCGUACUGCUGUGUUGGGCCGCAGACGCUUGGCUGAAACGGGCCGACCCUGAUGCAUCAUUCCUGGGCCACCCUGAUGCAUUGGGCUUUUCUAUUUAGAUAGGUACUACUAGCCAAUUUUUGGACUCGUAUUCCUGUGCAUGUGGGUAGGCCCAAUGGGCUCCGCCCAUGCUUCAAGGUGCCGGGCUCCGACGAGGAAGAGUAGGGCAUGGGAGACGGCUGCCGGUGAGUCCCGUGAGCCAAUCCGUGUCCUAUGUCCUACUCUACCUUGCCAGUGAUCGAACCAACAUUCUGAGAGGCGCAGCUGGCCACCGGAAAUGGACACUGUGGAGUCGGAUGAGCUUCACCUAUAUUAGGUUUAAGGUUGCAUGUAAUAGUAUGGAUUUGAGAUCUUUAAAUUGAAAUAUUCAAUUUUGAAAAAGAUUAUUUCAGGGUCGGAUUCGUUGUACCCUGCUUUUGAUGCUUUAAUUCUAAAGUCCCCUAAAGACAUGAAAGCACAACUUUCUCCUCUAGUCCCGCGGCAUGUACAAUGGUGCUAUUUUAGGAGUGCCAUUUAGGAUAAAUAAUGAGGUGGAGGAGAGAGAACUCAUAAGAAAAGACUUCUCUUCUCUUAUUUAAGAGAAGACAUGAGAUUAUCUCUUAGCAUAAUAUGUCUCAUCACGUUUAAAAAAAAGCUAGUUAUUGAAGAUAAGGCUAAGAGAUGACCCAUUGUAAACAAUUUUAUUUAUUAUCUCUAAAUUACAUAUAAAAUUUAAUAUAAAACCGUUUUAUCAACCAUUGAUACAUGCCCUAAUUAGCGACGGCCGCACGCAGAAAGCUACCACUCCUCCUAGUUAACAGGAGCAAAUUAAGCAGAGCGCAGUUCUGACCACUACGUACGGAUCGGAUAUACAUCAAGCUGCGUCUGUAUCUUCGGCGAACAUUAAAAAGGAAGGGGAUAAUGCGCCAGGAAAUCAAGGCGAACAUUAAUACAUUAAUAGUACGUAUUAAAAAAUACGUAGCGUGCUCGAUCGUGUUCGUCUACGACAUGAAUCCCAACUGCAACUGCCGCCACCUUUCAUGGAGCCGAAUCAACUGAUCGACCACUAUAUAUAGUCCUACCGUGCUAGUAUGUAGCUCACCACCAACACACAUCCUGAUCGCAAUGGCAUCCCCCAAAGCUUGCAUGUCCACUUACCUGAUCGCCGUCCUCUGCCUGGUCACCGGUGCGCACAGCGCCAAGGCGUUCAACUACGUGGACGCCCUCGACAAGGCGGUCCUCUUCUUCGAGGCGCAGCGCUCCGGGAAGCUGCCGCCGGGCCAACGCGUGGCGUGGCGCGCCGACUCCGCCCUCUCCGACGGCAACGCCUCCAAUGUACGUACUUACUCACAUGUUUAGCAUUAUUGCAUGCCAUGCCAUGCAUGUCGUUAACGAGAGUAUAUCCAUUGAGGUGUGCCUUGUUGGCAUUGUUCAGGUGGACCUCGUCGGAGGCUACUACGACGCCGGGGACAACGUCAAGUUCGGCCUGCCCAUGGCGUUCACGGUGACCAUGCUGUCGUGGAGCGUGGUCGAGUUCGGCGGCGAGAUGCCGCCCGGCCAGCUCGCCAACGCCGAGGCGGCGGUGCGUUGGGGCUCCGACUACCUGCUCAAGGCGGCGACGGCGACGCCGGGCGCGCUGUGGGUGCAGGUGGCGGACCCGUACCAGGACCACCGGUGCUGGGAGAGGCCGGAGGACAUGGACACGCCGCGGGCCGCGUACAAGGUGACGCCCCAGAACCCUGGGUCGGACGUGGCGGGCGAGACCGCGGCGGCGCUGGCCGCGGCCUCCCUGGUGUUCCGGGCCCGCGACCCGGCCUACUCGUCCAAGCUGCUCCGCGCCGCUCGGCAGGUGUUUGAUUUCGCGGACCGAUACAGGGGCUCCUACAUCGACUCGCUCAGCUCCGUGGUGUGUCCCUUCUACUGCUCCUACUCCGGCUACAAGGUAAACAACCCACAACUGCACGCCAACACAACAUGCAUGCAUGCAUGUUGUGUUGGAAUAACCAUGCUGCUGAGUCGGAAUAACCAUAACAUAAUCCAUGAAUGCAUGCAGGACGAGCUCCUUUGGGCGGCGACGUGGCUGCACCUGGCGUCGUCGCCGUCGCCGAGCUCGCAGAGCGUGUACAUGACCUACAUCAACUCCAACGGGCACACGCUCGGCGGGGAGCAAGACGCGUACACCGUCAGCUGGGACGACAAGCGCGCCGCCACCAAAGUCCUCCUCUCCAAGGUAUUUCUGCAGAACCGGGUGGAGAGCCUGCGCCCGUACAAGGCGCACGCCGACAAGUACAUCUGCUCCCUCGUCCCCGGCGCCGGCGGCUUCCAGUCCCAGUACACACCAGGAGGCCUCCUGUUCACGGAACGCGACAGCAACAUGGAGUACGUGACCUCCACGGCCUUCCUGCUCCUCACCUACGCCAAGUACCUCAGCUCCACCGGCGGCGCCGUCUCCUGCGGCUCCACCGCCGUCACCCCCUCCACCCUCGUCUCGCUCGCCAAGAAGCAGGUACGUACAUUUGCAUGGCCCCUAGACGAAAUAUUAAGAUUGCCUUGGCAGAGGGAGGCUCAUCGGUCAUUUUGGCGCGCGCGCAGGUGGACUACAUCCUGGGCGCGAACCCGGCGGGGAUGUCGUACAUGGUGGGGUUCGGGGCGCGGUACCCGAGGCGCGUGCACCACCGGGGCGCCUCCAUGCCGUCAGUGCACGACCACCCGGCCCGCAUCGGCUGCGACGAGGGGUUCCACUACCUGCACUCGUCCGACCCGGACCGCAACGUGCUCGUCGGCGCCGUCGUCGGCGGCCCCGACCAGAGCGACAGCUACUCCGACAGCCGCGACAACUACGCGCAGGCUGAGCCGUCCACCUACACCAACGCGCCGCUAGUCGGCGCCCUCGCCUUCUUCACGGGGGCACGCUAGCUAGGCAUAUAGCCCAAGUGGCGUAAACGAAAUGUGUGUGUGUGCGAUGGUAGAACUUGAACUGUGAAUGUACCGAAUUUUUCUUGGGCUUGCUAAAACUCAGUCUGAGAUUUUAGUCUAAGUCUCAGUCUGUAGAACUUAAUACCUAUAAACAUAUAAGAAGUACAAUUUGAUACAUUGGCUGAAAGAGCCAUACAACUAGUGGACACACUCGAGUUUACAUCAACUGUUAUAGCUAAAUGCGCAUGUGUUACAAUGGAGACAGGUUUAUUCUAGUGGUUCAAUGUAGGAAAAUAUUAAGUGUGUGUUGAGACUGAGAUAUGCUAUGAAGAAGGAAUCCGCAGAGCAAAUUUAAGGAAAGAUAUGAUGUGAUUGAGAUUAUGUACAUACAACUACAUGAGAUUUUGUUAUUUGCUUCCAAGGGAAUUUUUG